GUCCUACGGGACGCAGCAGUAGGGAAUCUUCCACAAUGGGCGAAAGCCUGAUGGAGCAACGCCGCGUGGGUGAAGAAGGUCUUCGGAUCGUAAAACCCUGUUGUUAGAGAAGAAAGUGCGUGAGAGUAACUGUUCACGUUUCGACGGUAUCUAACCAGAAAGCCACGGCUAACUACGUGCCAGCAGCCGCGGUAAUACGUAGGUGGCAAGCGUUAUCCGGAUUUAUUGGGCGUAAAGGGAACGCAGGCGGCCUUUUAAGUCUGAUGUGACAUCCUUCGCCUUAACCGGAGUGG
rnacentral:rRNA from 1 species